GAUGAACGCUGGCGGCGUGCCUAAUACAUGCAAGUCGAACGCUGGAGAUCUAGCUUGCUAGAUCGAAGGAGUGGCGAACGGGUGAGUAAUACAUAAGCAACCUACCCACGAAGACUGGGAUAAUCUCUGGAAACGGGGACUAAUACCGGAUAGGUAAUCGGAAGGCAUCUUCUGGUUAUUAAAGGUUACAAACACUGGUGGAUGGGCUUAUGGCGCAUUAGUUAGUUGGUGAGGUAACGGCCCACCAAGACGAUGAUGCGUAGCCGGCCUGAGAGGGUGAACGGCCACAUUGGGACUGAGACACGGCCCAGACUCCUACGGGAGGCAGCAGUAGGGAAUUUUCGGCAAUGGGGGCAACCCUGACCGAGCAACGCCGCGUGAGUGAAGACGGCCUUCGGGUUGUAAAGCUCUGUUGUAAGGGAAGAACGGUAGAUAGAGAAUAUCUAAGUGACGGUACCUUACCAGAAAGCCACGGCUAACUACGUG
rnacentral:rRNA from 1 species